AACGAACGCUGGCGGCAUGCCUAACACAUGCAAGUCGAACGAGACCUUCGGGCCUAGUUGCGCACGGGUGCGUAACGCGUGGGAACCUGCCCUUAGGUUCGGAAUAACUCCCCGAAAGGGGUGCUAAUACCGGAUAAUGUCUUCGGACCAAAGAUUUAUCGCCUUUGGAUGGGCCCGCGUUGGAUUAGCUAGUUGGUAGGGUAAAAGCCUACCAAGGCGACGAUCCAUAGCUGGUCUGAGAGGAUGACCAGCCACACUGGGACUGAGACACGGCCCAGACUCCUACGGGAGGCAGCAGUGGGGAAUAUUGGACGAUGGGGGAAAGCCUGAUCAAGCAAUGCGGGGUGAGUGAUGAAGGCCUUAGGGUUGUAAAGCUCUUUUACCCGGGAUGAUAAUGACAGUACCGGGUGAAUAAGCUCCGGCUAACUACGUG
rnacentral:rRNA from 1 species